UGGUUAAGCUACUAAGGGCGAAUGGUGAAUGCCUUGGCGCCGAUAGGCGAUGAAGGACGUGGCAAGCUGCGAUAAGCUCCGGAUAGCUGCACACAAGCUUUGACCCGGAGAUUUCCGAAUGGGGCAACCCGAUGCGGUAAACCCGCAUUAUCCCGGGGAUGAAUACAUAGUUCCCGGGAGGCUAACGGGGAGAACUGAAACAUCUCAGUAACCCCAGGAACAGAAAGAAACCUCGAUUUCCUCAGUAGCGGCGAGCGAACGGGAAACAGCCUAAACCGAGCCGCAUGCAAGCAUGCACGCGUUGUGCGGCCGGUGUCGUGGGACCCGAUCUGAUCCCAGUGCAUAUGGGGUCGGAGAGUUACAAAGUUGCACUCUAGCCGAAUCUUCUGGAAUCGAAGAACCAUAGACGGCGAUCGUCCGGUAGGCGAAAGGGCGGCAAUCUCUCUCGAUCGGGCACCCGAGUACCAUGGGACACGGGAAAUCCUGUGGGAAUUUGGGAGGACCACCUCCUAAGGCUAAAUACUCAUCGGCGACCGAUAGUGAACUAGUACCGUGAGGGAAAGGUGAAAAGAACCCCUGGCGGGGAGUGAAAUAGUACCUGAAACCAUUUGCCUACAAGCAGUUGGAGGACUUCCGGCGCCCUUCGGGGUGUCGUCGGUCUAACAGCGUGCCUUUUGCUUAAUGAACCGGCGAGUUAUUCUACGUAGCGAGGUUAAGCGGACGACACCGCGGAGCCGUAGUGAAAGCGAGCCCUAAUCGGGCGUCUAGUUGCGUGGAGUAGACCCGAAACCAUGUGAUCUAUCCAUGGCCAGGAUGAAGCGCGUGUAACAACGCGUGGAGGUCCGAACUGUAGAAUGAUGAAAAAUUCUCGGAUGAGCUGUGGAUAGGGGUGAAAGGCCAAUCAAACUUGGAAAUAGCUGGUUCUCCCCGAAAUAGCUUUAGGGCUAGCCUCGUGUGAUGAUUGACGGAGGUAGAGCACUGACUGGACUAGGGGGCAUACAAGCCUGCCAAACCCAUUCAAACUCCGAAUGCCGUUCAAUUUAACACGGGAGUCAGGCAGCGGGGGAUAAGCUUCGUUGCCGAGAGGGAAAGAACCCUAACCAUCAGCUAAGGUCCCCAAAUCCUGGCUAAGUGACUAAGGAUGUGGACUUGCUCAGACAACUGGGAUGUUGGCUUGGAAGCAGCCAUCAUUUAAAGAAAGCGUAACAGCUCACCAGUCAAGUGAAUCCGCGCCGAUAAUUUCCGGGACUAAGCCAGGUACCGAAGCUAUGGAUGCGUCGAUCCUUCGGGAUCGGCGUCUGGUAGGGGAGCGUUCUAUUGUAGGUUGAAGGUACAUCGUGAGGUGUGCUGGACGAAAUAGAAGUGAGUAUGCCGGUAUGAGUAGCGAUAAAACAGGCGAGAAACCUGUUCACCGAAAGCCUAAGGUUUCCUGAGCAAGGCUAAUCCGCUCAGGGUGAGUCGGUCCCUAAGCCGAGGCCGAAAGGCGUAGGUGAUUGGGAAUCCGGUUAAAAUUCCGGAACCGUCCCGAAUGCGACAAAGACGCUAAGGGGGGACGCAGGAGUGAAAGGUCAGCCGGCUGAUGGACGUGCCGGUCUAAGCGUGUAGGAGGAUCGCCCAGGCAAAUCCGGGCGGUCAUUACUCCGAGGCGUGAUGGGGAGGGGCCUAGCCCCGCAAACUGGCCCUAAUCAUACUGCCGAGAAAAUCCUCUAUGCGAGUGUUUGGGAUGACCGUACCGCAAACCGACACAGGUAGGCGAGGAGAGUAUCCUAAGGUGCUCGAGAGAACGCUUGUAAAGGAACUAGGCAAAAUGACCCCGUAACUUCGGAAGAAGGGGUGCCCUUUGUGGCCAAUUCCCUCGCGGAAGGAAGCCAUGAGGGGCCGCAGAGAAACGGCCCGGGCGACUGUUUACUAAAAACACAUGUCUCUGCUAAGUCGUCAAGACGACGUAUAGGGACUGACACCUGCCCGGUGCUGGAAAGUUAAGGGGAUGUGUCAGCCGCAAGGCGAAGCACUGAACUGAAGCUCCAGUAAACGGCGGCCGUAACUAUAACGGUCCUAAGGUAGCGAAAUUCCUUGUCGGGUAAGUUCCGACCUGCACGAAUGGUGUAACGACUUGGGCGCUGUCUCUACAAGCGACUCGGUGAAAUUGAAUUAUCGGUGAAGAUGCCGGUUACCCGUAUCUGGACGGAAAGACCCCGUGCACCUUUACUGUAGCUUGGCAUUGGGUUUUGGCUGGCCAUGUGUAGGAUAGGUGGGAGGCUUUGAAGCGGGGACGCUAGUCUCCGUGGAGCCAACCUUGAAAUACCACCCUUGUUCAGUAGAAAUCCUAACCUGUGCCGUGAAGCCGGCACAGGGACAGUGCUUAGUGGGCAGUUUGACUGGGGCGGUCGCCUCCCAAACUGUAACGGAGGCGCUCAAAGGUUCCCUCAGCGCGGUCGGCAAUCGCGCGAAGAGUGUAAAGGCAUAAGGGAGCUUGACUGCGAGAGAGACAUCUCGAGCAGAUGCGAAAGCAGGACUUAGUGAUCCGGCGGUUCUGCGUGGAAUGGCCGUCGCUCAACGGAUAAAAGGUACGCCGGGGAUAACAGGCUGAUCUCCCCCAAGAGUCCACAUCGACGGGGAGGUUUGGCACCUCGAUGUCGGCUCAUCGCAUCCUGGGGCUG
rnacentral:rRNA from 1 species